AUUUUUUCUUGAAUCAGUUUUAGGAAAUAGCUGUUUAGAAUUCAGAAUUUAAUACAAACUGUAGAAUUAUCAAAUUCUACAAACAAAUCUUGUUGAGAUAUAUUCAUUUUAUCUAAAUUUUCUAAGAAUUUUCACUUGCCAUGUAAGAUUUCAAAUAUAGUUUGCUAGUAUUUUAUUAUUAGCCUUUUAAUAUUUAUUAAUUUGUAGUUAUACCACCUUUUUGUUGUAAUUUUAAUUAAUAUAAUCAGGGGAUUAUCUGUUUUGUUGAUGGGUUUUUUAAAGGAAUUCAGGUUCGACUGUCAUUAUUUUCUGCCCUUAUUUUUAUUGUUCCUAAUUCAUUAAUUUCCACUUUUAUUUAUAUUAUGUCUUUGCUCUUGCUUUCUUUGGGAUUAUUUUCUUUCCUAACUUUAAUCCUUAAUUUUGGUGCAUCUUUUCUAUGAUAAGCUUUUCAGGCUAUAAACUACUCUUGGCUAACUGCUUCAGCCAAGAGUUUCAUUUUAUUGUCUCAGUUAUUUUAUAACUUUAUAAUUUAUUUUUAACCCAUGAGCUACUGAGCAGUGUUAACUUCUAGCUUAACUAAUUCAUGUUGUGUGCCCAUAAAUCAUGGUCUGUAUUAUAUGUGUGUUUUCCUUUAAUGUUUUUUACUUCAUUGUCAGGUAUGUUGUGUGCUUAUAAAUCAUGGUCUAUAUUAUAUGUGUGUUUUCCUUUAAUGUUUUUUACUUCAUUAUGCUGACUUUGUAAAAUGGUAUGUAGUAAAGAAUGUAGUAAAGAAAAUGUAGUAAAAAAAAAUGUAAUUGUCUCAUUAUUGGAUGCAGAACUUCUCAUAGCCCAUUAGGUCAACACUGUUAGUUGCAAAGUUCUUAUUUUCUAUAUUAUUGCAGAUAUUUAUAAUCAAGUAAAAUACAUUGAAAUCCCUCACCAUGAUGCUGGGUUUAUCC
rnacentral:lncRNA from 1 species